rnacentral:rRNA from 1 species
GACGAACGCUGGCGGCGUGCCUAAUACAUGCAAGUAGGACGCAGUUGCGAACGGGUGAGUAACGCGUAGGUAACUACCUAUUAGAGGGGGAUAACUAUUGGAAACGAUAGCUAAUACCGCAUACUAGUAGAUGGACCUGCGUUGUGUUAGCUAGUAGGUAGGGGAAUGGCCUACCUAGGCAACGAUACAUAGCCGGCCGGAGGGGGUGGUCGGGCAAACUGGGACUGAGACACGGCCCAGACUCCGUCGGGAGGCAGCCGUAGGGAAUCUUUGGCAAUGGGGGGAACCCCUAACGCGCAACGCCGCGUGAGUGAAGAAGGUUUUCGGAUCGUAAAGCUCUGUUGUUAAGGAAGCGGUACUUACCCAGAAAGGGACGGCUAACUACGUGCCAGCAGCCGCGGUAAUAC